ensembl:lncRNA
AUGGAGGGUGACAGGAAAUCUGAGACUGAGAAGAUGCUGAAAUCUAGUUCUGUUGUUACACGUUCAACAGCAUCGUCAAAAAGGUCUAGUAGGACAUCGGCUAGCAUGGCUGCUGCCAAAGCACGAGCUAGAGCUGAGGCAGAGCGUACACGUGCAUAUUAUGUCAAGAAAGAAACUGAAAUGAAAGUAGAAAAAGUUCGCAUGGAAGGCAGUCUUACAGCACUAGAACAUGAAAAGGAGGCUGCUGCCGCUAUGGCCGAGGCAAGAAUAUUAGAGGAGGCUGUAGAGAGCAUGGAGGAAGGCAGUUAUCGUUCACAUAGCCCGAUUGCUCCUGCUGCAGACCCUGUGCAGCGCACGAGUGAUUAUGUGGAGCAGCACACAAAUAACUCCAUUGUUGUUCCUCCUGAGGAAAUAAGUUUAGCCACUCCACCUGUUGAUUUCAUGAACCUUUAUGGAAGUGAAAACAAGCAGUUAAAGGAAAGCUCUCAUAGGAGUGUGCCACCUGAUUUUGUUGAACAAGUCAACGAUUCAGUCUCAAAGCCUUACGCUAACAAGAUUGAAAAGCCUCAGUCUGCCACGUACAGUCCAGUUAAUUACUGGCCCCUUGCACAGACUUUCAAUUCCGGCGUUCCUAUGCAGUCACCUUCCCACGGAGAAGUUGAAAUGAGUGAUUUAGCAAGGUUUCUUGCCCGUCGUGAGAUCAUUAGUUCCGGGCUCACAAUAUUCGACGAUCACCCAGAAAACUACUGGGCUUGGAAAUCCUCUUUCUUAAAUGCCACCAGUGGGCUCAAACUCUCUUCCAGUGAGCAGUUGGAUUUACUGAUUAAGUGGUUAGGCAGUCGGUCAUCAGAAUAUGUGAGACGCAUCAGGUCAGUGAAUAUAAGGUAUCCUGACGCAGGGCUUAAAAUGGCAUGGGAUCGUCUAGAAGAGAUGUAUGGAUCCCCGGAAGUGGUUGAGAAGGCACUUUUUGACAAAAUUGAGAAAUUUCCAAAAAUCAAUAAACAAGAUCCUCUGAAAUUACAAGAGCUCGGAGAUCUGCUACGUGAGGUUCAGUCUGCUAAAGCUGAAGGGUACUUGACAGGACUUUCUUAUCUGGACACCUCCAGAGGAGUCAGUCCGAUCGUGGAGAAGCUGCCUUAUCACCUGCAAGAAAAAUGGAUUUAUCAGGGUUCUGAGUACAAAAGGAAGUACAACGUUACCUUCCCUCCAUUCUCCUUUCUUACUGACUUUGUCUGUCAGGAAGCACGUACUCGAAACGAUCCAAGCUUUAGCUAUAGUGCAGUCUGUACAACCCAGAUCAAAGCAGAACCGUUGGUUAAAAGACAAUUGCAAAGAAGGAUGGCUGUGUCUACACACAAGACGGGUGUAACAUCGUCAACCGGAUUUCUUCCCACAAGAAGUUCCGAAAAUGAACCUAUUGAUGUUGAAAAGCAGUGUCCCAUACAUAAAAACAAACCUCAUCCUCUGAGACGUUGCCGUGGGUUUAGAGCGAAGACUCUAGAAGAAAGGCAAACACUGCUUAGAGAAAAUGGUGUGUGCUAUAGGUGUUGUGCUUCGACGGUUCACUUGGCAAAGAACUGCAAGGCAGUAACCAAAUGUAACGAAUGUGAAAGCGAUCGACAUGUGUCUGCACUUCAUCCUGGUCCUCCACCGUGGGCCAACAAAGACCCUUCAUCAGAUCAUGGCGGGGAGGAGGAUAAAAGCCCUUCUCCUACUGUAACUUCACAAUGCACAGAGAUUUGUGGAGACAGUCCUAUACCCAAAUCAUGCUCUAAGAUAUGCUUGAUAGGAGUAUAUCAUGAGGAUCAUCCAGAAAUUAUGGUCAAGAUGUACGCAGUGCUCGAUGAGCAAAGUAAUAGAUCUCUAGCUAGACCUGAGUUUUUUGAUCUAUUCAAAGUAAAAGGAACAGAGCAUCCAUACACUCUUCGAACUUGUGCUGGGUUAACAGAAACUUCAGGAAGAAGAGCCACUGGGUUUCAAGCUGUAUCUAUGGAUGGAAAGACACACGUGUCACUUCCAACACUCAUCGAGUGUAAUUAUAUGCCUGACGACCAUUCUGAGAUCCCAUCUCCCACCAUUGCACGCCAGUUCCCUCACUUGAUAUCUAUUGCUCACGAAAUACCAGAGAUAGAUCCAUGUGCUAAGAUACUGCUUCUCUUAGGGAGAGACAUCAUCCAAGUCCACAAAGUGAGGAAACAGCUCAAUGGUUUGAAUAAUUCACCGUACGCCCAAAAACUCGACUUUGGCUGGGUGAUAGUGGGAAAUGUCUGCUUGGGGUCAGCACAUAAACCUAGCACAGUUGACGUGUUCCGCACAAACAUACUUCUCAAUGGACGCCCAAGCAUAUGUGAGCCAUGUCCUAAUCAGAUACAGGUGAAAGAGAAGCUAAGCAGUAAAAAUCAUCCCAUCUCUUUACAUGGCUGUCGCUUUUACCCAUCCACCUGCCCUGAGUACUUGCUGGGUAACACUAUUUUCGAACGGACUCAAGAUGAUGAAAAGAUAGCCCCUUCCAUUGAAGAUCGUGCAUUCUUGAAACUGAUGGACAAGGAAAUGUUCAUUGACAGCUCUAACAGCUGGGUGGCACCUCUUCCUUUCCGUAUUCCACGCCAACAGCUACCCAACAAUAGGGACCUGAGUAGGAAACGUCUCUUGUCACUUCAACAGACACUAAGGAAGAAGCCUCAAAUGCAGGAACAUUUCAUCACAUUCAUGCAAAGGAUUUUCGAUGCAGGUCAUGCAGAAUUAGCUCCACCUGUGAUGAAAAAUGAGGAAGUGUGGUACCUGCCUAUAUUUGGUGUCUAUCACCCUCGCAAGCCAGGACAGAUCAGAGUUGUUUUUGACUCUAGUGCUCAGUACAAAGGCCUUUCUUUGAAUCAAGUGCUUCUCUCAGGACCUGACCUGAAUAACUCCUUGCUGGGUGUUUUGCUGCGUUUCCGUAAAGAAGCAGUUGCAUUUACUGCUGACAUUGAACAGAUGUUCCAUAGCUUUGUGGUGAGAGAAGAUCACCGCAACUUUCUCCGCUUCUUGUGGUUUGAGGACAAUGACCUCUCGAAAGAUGUCACAGAGUAUAGGAUGAAGGUCCAUGUCUUUGGGAAUAGUCCCUCUCCCGCGGUAGCAAUCUAUGGACUUCAUCGUGCAGCUCAACAUGGAGAACUUGAGUUUGGGAAAGAUGCAAGAGCCUUUGUGGAGCGUAAUUUUUAUGUGGAUGAUGGCCUGAAAUCAGUGCCCACGGCUGUGGAAGCAGUUGGUCUGUUGAAAAGAACUCAGGAGAUGCUAGCAAGUUCCAACCUGAGGCUUCAUAAAAUAGCAUCUAACAGUCCUGAUGUAAUGAAUGCCUUUCCUGUGGAGGACCAUGUGAAAUAUCUCAAGGACCUCGAUCUGGAAAAAGAUACUCUACCUAUUCAGAGGAGCCUUGGUCUGAGCUGGAAUCUUAAAACAGACACUUUCACUUUUCGUGUUGAUGCAGAAGAGAAGCCUUUUACACGUAGAGGUGUCUUAGCAACUGUCAACAGCGUUUUUGACCCUCUUGGGUUGGCAGCACCUGUUACAAUACAAGGAAAGUUCCUUCUUCGUGACCUGACAGCAGACACCAAAGACUGGGAUGCCCCUCUACCAACAGUCAGGGAAGCUGAAUGGGAGGCUUGGAAAAACUCUUUGCAAGAUCUAGCUCAAUUUGAAAUACCCAGAGUGUACUCAAAGGUUUCGCUAUCUUCAGCUAAAAGGAAAGAAAUUCACGUUUUCUCAGAUGCUUCCACAAAGGCAAUUGCAGCAGUAGCUUACCUGAGAGUGAUGAAUGACAAUGGAUCAUGUACAGUAGGGUUUGUGAUAGGCAAGGCUAAGCUUGCUCCACUGUCUGCUCACACUGUACCUCGAUUAGAGCUUGGAGCAGCAGUCCUGGCAGUAGAAGUGGCAGAACUCAUUCAAGGUGAGAUGGAUAUUACUCCAGACGCUGUGGAAUUCUAUUCCGACAGUAAAGUAGUGUUGGGGUAUAUUCAUAACCAAACCAGACGGUUUUACGUAUACGUGAGUAAUAGAGUCCAGCGGAUUAGGAAAUCUACAAGGCCAGAACAGUGGCAUUACAUUUCCACAAGUCAAAACCCUGCUGAUCACGCAACCCGUUCAGUGCCCGCCUCAGACUUGAAAGAUUCUACAUGGCUUUCUGGGCCUGCGUUUCUUUCUCAUCCUGAUUCAGAGUGUCUUGAAGACAAUCCAUCAUACAAACUAAUUGACCCUGAUUCAGAUGUGGAAGUACACUCUAACCGUACAGAUCUGACACUCCAUGACUUUCCUGUUAAACUUGGCUCACAUCGCUUUGAGCGCUUUUCGACCUGGAAAUGUCUCUUACAAGCUAUAUCCAACUUAAUUCACAUCAUUCAUUCAUUCAGACUCGAAACUGAGUUUGCAAGUACCUGUAAAAAAUGGCAUCUUUGUGACAAAGCACUCCCAGAGGAACUUUCACAGGCAAAAGUUGUGAUAUUACAAUGUAUCCAACAGGAGAGCUACCGUGUUGAGUUUGCUCGUCUUUCUGAAGGAAAGGAAAUCCAAAAAAACAGUGGACUGAGAACUCUGAACCCCUUCAUUGACCGAGAUGGGCUUCUGAGAGUAGGUGGCAGACUCAAGCAUGCUCCUAUAGAACAAGGAGAAAAGCAUCCUGUUAUCAUUCCUGGGAAAAGCCACAUAGCCCUUCUCAUCACUAGACACUUUCAUGAACGGGUCAAACACCAAGGUCGCCUUUUUACAGAAGGUGCAAUCAGAAAUGCAGGAUUCUGGAUCGUCGGGGCGAGAAAACGCAUUCAUAGUGUGAUCCAUAAAUGCAUCAUCUGUCAGAAACUCAGAGGAAGAAUUGUUGAACAGAAAAUGGCAGAUCUUCCUCCUGAUCGACUAGCUACUGAUCCACCUUUCACUUAUGUCGGCCUUGACGUCUUUGGGCCCUGGAUGGUCGCCUCUCGCCGUACUCGAGGUGGCUUGGCAAACAGCAAAAGAUGGGUACUCAUUUUUACCUGUUUGAGUAUUCGAGCAGUGCACUUUGAGCUGAUUGAUUCUCUUGAUGCAUCUACCUUUAUCAACGCCCUCCGGCGCUUCUUUGCCAUAAGGGGUCCAGCAAAACAAAUCAGAUCAGACUGUGGCACAAAUUUCAAGGGUGCUUGUAAGGAGCUGGGAAUGCUUGCAGAGGAGCUUAGUUUUAGGAGCUACUUGAAUGAGGAAGGAUGUCGUUGGAUCUUUAAUCCCCCUCAUGCAUCCCAUAUGGGAGGAGCUUGGGAGCGACUUAUCGGAGUUGCACGUCGCAUAUUAGACUCCAUGCUGCUUCAAAAUAGUCACUCUCAUCUCACUCAUGAAAUGCUGGCUACAUUCUUGGCAGAAGUUUCUGCAAUUAUGAACUCAAGACCUCUCGCACCGAUCUCAAGUGACCCAAAUUCACCCGCCCUGUUGACUCCAGCCACUCUUUUGACUCAGAAAGUUGGUGUCUUGUCUCCUCCUCCAGGGGACUUUGAAAAGGAUUUUUGCCGCCAGAAAUGGAAGCAAGUUCAACAACUUGCCAGCACCUUCUGGGAAAGGUGGCGACGUGAGUACCUAGUCAAUCUUCAAAGUCGCCGCAAAUGGCACACGAACCAGCCUAACAUCAGGGAAGGAGAUAUUGUACUUAUGAAGGAGGCUCAAGUUAAGAGAAAUGACUGGCCGAUGGCUCUAGUCACUAAGGUCUUCCCAGGCGAAGAUGAAAAGGUCAGGAAAAUUGAAAUCAAGGUCACCAAGGAUGGGAAGUGUAAAACUUAUCUGAGACCUGUAUCCCAAGUGAUUCUUCUUCUGUCAUCAGAAGAACAGAAUGAAUAA